AAAGCAGAGCUCUGGCAAAUUGAGCUUCACCCAAUCUUGUCCUGCAGAGAAGCCAAGUCUCCACUGAAUACAAAGAGACACACCCUUCUGCCUGGACGGUAUCAGUAGGUUGAAAUUUUUAAAAAAUGAAAUAGAACCACAAAGAAAAUAUCAGAACACAUUGCACUUAGUAAAGAUGGAGUCUCGCUAUGUUGCCCAGGCUGGACUUGAACUCCUGUACUCAAGCCAUCCUCCCGCCCCUGCCUCUUGAAGUGCUGGGAUUACAGAACAAGGGGGAGUCUCCCUGCACAAGCUCUCUCUCUUUGCCUGCUGUCAUCCACCUAAGAUGUAACUUGCUCCUCCUUGCCUUCCACCAUGAUUGUGAGGCUUCCCCAGCCACGUGGAACUGCUUCUUGAGGAUAAACCAUGUGUGAUGCUCUUAUAAGAAGCCACAAAUACCCUGUAUGGGAUGUCACAAAUAUUCAUCAGUAAGUGCUGACCAACUCAAAGGCUUAAAAUUCAACUCAUUGAUGAAUCACAGAAGAUCCAAUGACUGACUCAGAUCCACCCACUGUUCUUCAGUCCGUCUUACCCUU
ensembl:lncRNA novel transcript, sense overlapping CCDC71L